AGAGUUUGAUCAUGGCUCAGAACGAACGCUGGCGGCAUGCCUAACACAUGCAAGUCGAACGUGAUCCGCAGCUUCGGUUGCGGUGAAAGUGGCAAACGGGUGAGUAACGCGUGGGAACCUGCCCAGAGGUAGGGAAUAACUGCGGGAAACUGCGGCUAAUACCCUAUGUGUCCUGAGGGACAAAGAUUUAUCGCCUUUGGAGGGGCCCGCGUCGGAUUAGGUAGUUGGUGGGGUAACGGCCUACCAAGCCUUCGAUCCGUAGCUGGUCUGAGAGGAUGAUCAGCCACACUGGGACUGAGAUACGGCCCAGACUCCUACGGGAGGCAGCAGUGGGGAAUAUUGGACAAUGGGGGCAACCCUGAUCCAGCAAUGCCGCGUGAGUGAUGAAGGCCUUCGGGUUGUAAAGCUCUUUCGGCGGGGAAGAUGAUGACGGUACCCGCAGAAGAAGCCCCGGCUAACUUCGUGCCAGCAGCCGCGGUAAUACGAAGGGGGCUAGCGUUGUUCGGAAUUACUGGGCGUAAAGGGCGCGUAGGCUGUGCUGUAAGUCAGGCGUGAAAUCCCCGGGCUCAACCUGGGAAUUGCGUUUGAUACUGCGGCGCUGGAAUGCAGGAGAGGAUGGCGGAAUUCCCAGUGUAGAGGUGAAAUUCGUAGAUAUUGGGAAGAACACCGGGCGAAGGCGGCCAUCUGGCCUGUAAUUGACGCUGAGGCGCGAAAGCGUGGGGAGCAAACAGGAUUAGAUACCCUAGUAGUCC
rnacentral:rRNA from 1 species